AGCGAACGUUAGCGGCGGGCUUAACACAUGCAAGUCGCACGAGAAUGAGGGGGCAACUCCUCUAGUAAAGUGGCGGACGGGUGCGUAACACGUGGGUAAUCUACCUGUUGGCGGGGGACAACCGUCCGAAAGGAUGGCUAAUACCGCGUAAGUCGGCGGGGACUCCGGUCCCUGUCGGGAAAGAUGGCCUCUUCAUGAAAGCUGUCACCAGCAGAUGAACCCGCGGCCCAUCAGCUAGUUGGAGGGUAACGGCCUACCAAGGCUAAGACGGUAGCUGGUCUGAGAGGAUGAUCAGCCACACUGGGACUGCGACACGGCCCAGACUCCUACGGGAGGCAGCAGUGGGGAAUCUUGCGCAAUGGGCGAAAGCCUGACGCAGCGACGCCGCGUGAGGGAUG
rnacentral:rRNA from 1 species